rnacentral:rRNA from 1 species
UGCAGUCGUACGAGARUUUUUAAYUYAAGUGGCGGACGGGUGAGUAACACGUAAGAAUUURCCUUUAGGAGGGGGAUAACAAYKRGAAAYKRYUGCUAAUACCCCAUAUGCUUUCGAGUGAAAUGRAUUUUUYCGCCUAAAGAGAAGCUUGCGSCUGAUUAGCUUGUUGGUAAGGUAAUGGCUUACCAAGGCGACGAUCAGUAUCUGGUUUGAGAGGAUGAUCAGACACACUGGAACUGAGACACGGUCCAGACUCCUACGGGAGGCAGCAGUGGGGAAUUUUCCGCAAUGGGCGAAAGCCUGACGGAGCAAUCUYGCGUGAGGGAUGACGGCCUAUGGGUUGUAAACCUCUUUUUUCAGGGAGGAAUAAMUGACGUGUACCUGAAGAAUAAGCAUCGGCUAACUCCGUGCCAGCAGCCGCGGUAAGACGGAGGAUGCAAGUGUUAUCCGGAAUCACUGGGCGUAAAGCGUCUGUAGGUGGUUUAGUAAGUCAACUGUUAAAUCUUGRAGCUUAACUUCAAAAUCGCAGUCGAAACURUUAGACUAGAGUAUAGUAGGGGUAAAGGGAAUUUCCAGUGGAGCGGUGAAAUGCGUAGAGAUUGGAAAGAACACCGAUGGCGAAGGCACUUUACUGGGCUAUUACUGACACUSAGAGACGAAAGCUAGGGUAGCAAAUGGGAUUAGAUACCCCAGUAGUCCUAGCUGUAAACAAUGGAUACUAGAUGUUGAACAGAUCGACCUGUGCAGUAUUAAAGCUAACGCGUUAAGUAUCCCGCCUGGGAAGUAUGCUCGCAAGANUGAAACUCAAAGGAAUUGANGGGGCCCGCACAAGCGGUG